rnacentral:sRNA from 1 species
AUGAAGGCCCUGGAGAGUGAAGUCCUGUAUUUAUCCUCACAACAAAUGCAAUGCAAUCUCCAUCAGCACAAGUUUAUCCACGCUGGCAUGCCAAUAUCUCAAUCCUGAGCUGGGGAGACCACCAAAUGGAGCAAGAGAGUAGUUCAGGCUUCCUCACACUGCCCAUUCAAACAUUGGCCUUU